AUUUUAAGCUGAAAAAUGUCCGUCUUUCUCGUUCUUCAUGUUAGCUGAGUUGGAAACAACUCAAAAUACUGUAAAGUGUUUGCUGCACAUUUUUUGGUCUCGAACAGUAAUUUUUUUCUCUCUUCUUAUCCAUUGAAAAUAACCAUAAAUUUAUAUUCAGAAGGCCUGAAAGAAGACUUUUUAUUGUACAGAAGAGAGAAAGUUUUAUUGUUUAUUUUUACAGAAAUGUUCACGGUCAGGUUGAUUCAUCCAUUGUCUUGACCAGGUAACUGGUAAACGAGAACACGGGAGCAGUGUCUGAACAUGAGGAGAGGUUUGACCAGGACGUCACAGAAUAGACUUUUUUUGGUCAUUCUACCGUGAAACACCUUCGCAGGAUUAUAAAAGGAAAAAUUGUAGCCAGUGUGAUUCCUCUAUUUUCAAACCCUCUAAAACCAGUUCAAGAUCGUAAAGGCCUUCUUACCAUGGUAAAAGAAGAGAGGCUGCCACGCUCAGACCAGACGACAAAGCCACUGCAUAAGCCACUAUGAUAUUAGGGAUGCUAACCAGCAUAACUGCAAACGGGAUGAUCCACUGAAGGAGAGGAAGACCAAAACAAAACAAAACAAACACAGCAGUCAUGAAGACAUGUACGGCGAUCAUCUGAAAAACUCACUGAGAAACAGAAUGCUUAAGAGACCACUCCACAUUUGAACCAAUGAGGCUAUUUUGGCAAUAUAUGGUGAAAGGAAGCCACCUAACUGGGAUAAGGAGCCACAUCUGCACACAACUCAACUCACCAGUGGCCAGUUCAUCUUUUAUUGACAUAUUAAUACACUGUGCAAGAAUGGAUGGCAAAAUGUGGGGCUGCUUGCUAUUUGUUCACAUACCAAGUCUAAUGUCUAAUCUGUUUUGAAAAAACGGUAAAUGUCAUUUAUAAGAAUGUUGCAAGUGUAUGCUGUCCAUCAUC